rnacentral:tRNA from 1 species
GGGGAUGUGGCGAAAUGGCAGACGCGCAUGCCUUAGGAGCAUGUGCCCGUGAGGGCGUGUGGGUUCAAAUCCCACCAUCCCCACCA